rnacentral:lncRNA from 1 species
GUUGGCACUCAUUUAAGUUUGUGUUUUUUUUAUAUUUUAAGCUACUGAGAACUGGCUCCGUAAAGUUCUGUGCUAUAUGUCGAGCAUAUAGAGAUGAAAAGACAGGCAGACCAAAGGUUUUGUACCAUUUAAAGUUUCUGCAGAGACCACAAUAGAGAAAACAUC